GAACGCACCUUGCGCUCCUUGGUAUUCCGAGGAGCAUGCCUGUUUGAGUGUUAUGAAAUUCUCAACUGCCCCAGGCUUUGUGGCCUGCAGGUGAAGUUGGACUUGGAGGUAUUAUGCUGGCGCAUGAAUGGGCUUUUGCGGCCACUGCCUUGCUUGUUGGCUCCUCUUGAAUGGAUGAGCUUUCCAAUCCUUGGCAAAGUAUCGUCGAUGUGAUAAUUGUCUACGUCGCCCGAGAAAGCCGAAAGGGGAAAUCUUUGAUCACGCCAGGGUGACCUGCGUCUGACAAAUUCGACCUCAAAUCAGGUAGGACUACCCGCUGAACUUAA
rnacentral:misc_RNA from 1 species